UACGUAGGGACCAAGCGUUGUUCGGAUUUACUGGCGUAAAGGGCGCGUAGGCGGCGUGACAAGUCACUUGUGAAAUCUCUGAGCUUAACUCAGAACGGCCAAGUGAUACUGUUGUGCUAGAGUGCAGAAAGGGCAAUCGGAAUUCUUGGUGUAGCGGUGAAAUGCGUAGAUAUCAAGAGGAACACCUGAGGCGAAGGCGGGUUGCUAGGCUGACACUGACGCUGAGGCGCGAAAGCUAGGGUAGCAAACGGG
rnacentral:rRNA from 1 species